rnacentral:rRNA from 1 species
UCGGGAAUUGUUCACAAUGGGCGCAAGCCUGAUGACGCAACGCCGCGUGGAGGAUGAAGGUCUUCGGAUUGUAAACUCCUGUUGCUCGGGACGAAAAGCUCUGACCUAACACGUCAGAGUCUGACGGUACCGGGUGAGGAAGCCCCGGCUAACUCUGUGCCAGCAGCCGCGGUAAUACAGAGGGGGCAAGCGUUGUUCGGAAUUACUGGGCGUAAAGGGCGCGUAGGCGGCCUUCUAAGUCAGACGUGAAAUCCCCGGGCUCAACCCGGGAACUGCGUCUGAUACUGGAGGGCUUGAAUCCGGGAGAGGGAUGUGGAAUUCCAGGUGUAGCGGUGAAAUGCGUAGAUAUCUGGAGGAACACCGGUGGCGAAGGCGGCAUCCUGGACCGGUAUUGACGCUGAGGCGCGAAAGCCAGGGGAGCAAACGGGAUUAGAUACCCCCGUAGUCCCUGAGCGGGCUGGCAAGGCGCAU